CUCUUUACUGAGCACGUAACCCUCCCUGCACGCCAGCCUGCCCUCGCACGGACUGCGGACCUCCCGCCCCAGACCUCCCACCCAAGCUAUUUCAGGGCAAUUGUUACUUCAUCGUGACAGACAAGCUUGUGGGGAUCAUGAUUUUGCUGGAAGGCGAAUUCAGGUGUUUGAAGUCAACUCUUUGGAUUUUAACUGCUGUAUCAUGAGUAAGUAAAUUUCCAUUCAUUUAUUUGUGUGUUCAUUCCUCACAUGCGCAGUUACUGAGGGUCGACCUCUCUUUACUCAGUGGUUUGUAAGAUGAAGUGAAAACAAUUAAUCACAGUAUUUU
rnacentral:lncRNA from 1 species